CUCACUUUCCUGCUUGCGCUGCCCUUCCUCCUCCUCCUCCUCCCGCUCCCGGCUUUGAAGCUUUUGUUUUCCCCGUCCGCUGCGAUGCCAGGAAACUUCCCGGAGGGAUGGGCUCAGGCCGGGCUUGUGCUGCGCUGGGCUCCGCAGGGCACCGGCCACGCCGUGAGGUUAUUUGGAAAGGGAAUACUUUGCUGAACAGAACAGCACAAGAUGACUUAUGAUUCCUGCUCUUCAUGGGAGCCUGUCUGGAUUGUCCCUGCAGAAUGCUACAGAUUCCUUCCCUCUUCGGUGUUCUUGGUUUGUGGAGUCAUAAACCUCAGUGGAACUUUGGAUGGAAAUACUGAUAUGAAUUUAAGAACUUUGAUGCUUUCAGACGUUGAAUUUUGAUUUGUUAAAUAACCAGGAAUAAGAUACUGCCUGAACAAGAUGAAAUGCCUUGAAGACCUUCGGUUGUG
rnacentral:lncRNA from 1 species